UAAGCAGAUCGCCUUAUCGCUGCUGUGAUUCGUCACGGUGGAGGAAAGUCCGAACACCAUAGUGCAGCAUAGUGGUUAAUGGCCACCGACCGUGAGGUUAGGAAAAGUGCAACAGAAAGAAUGUACAGGUAAGGCUGUAGUGAAAUCAGGUAAACUCUAUACGGUGCAAUGUCAUGUAUACUAACGUUUGAGUGCGGCACGUACGAUUGUUAGAGGGUAGGCAGCUAGAGUAUAUUGG
rnacentral:RNase_P_RNA from 1 species